CCCAGCUCCUCAAUUCUCGCGAGACGUGGUUUCCGCGGCCCCCUGGGAGUUUUCAGGUCACCGCGGUGGUGUCGGUUGGUGCCAGCGUCCUUCUGAGUUGGAGGAUAAUUGCUUUACAAUGUUGCAUUGGCUUCCGCUCUACAACAGCAUGAAUCCACCAUAAGUUAUGCUGGAGCAUGACAAAAUGUACAUAAACAUUCUCAAUUCUAAGGCAAGUUCCACAUUAUGUCGUCUCAGUAUGUAGCAUAAUGAAAAAAGCUGUGGAGGAGAAAGUCAAGGAGAGAAGUAGUCGCGUAUGGAUGUGAGAGUUGGACUGUGAAGAAGGCUGAGCGCCAAAGAACUGAUGCUUUUGAACUGUGGUGUUGGAGAAGACUCUUGAGAGUCCCUUGGACUGCAAGGAGAUCCAACCAGUCCAUCCUAAAGGAGAUCAGCCCUGGG
ensembl:lncRNA